GGUUCGAUUAUGGCCAUGAUUGAACGCUGGCGGAUGCUUGCUACUAUUGCAAGUCGAACGGCAGUACGGACCGGUCUUGCGGGCGAGUGGCGAACGGGUGAGAAUAUAUCAUCGGAACGUGCCUAGUAGCGGAUAACGCGAGUGUAGCUAAUACUAUCGAGCAUACGCCCUUCGGGGGAAAGCGGGGACCUUCGGGCCUCGCACUAUUAGAGCGGCCGAUAUCGGAUUAGCUAGUUGCGGGGUAACGGCUCACCAAGGCGACGAUCCGUAGCUGGUUUGAGAGGACGACCAGCCACACUGGGACUGGAGAUUAUCGGCCCAGACUCACGGGAGGCAGUGGGAAAUUGACAAUGGGGAAACCCCUGAUCCAGCCAUCCUGCAAGGUGACAGCCUUCGGUUGUAAAGCACUUGGCAGGGAAAGAAACGGGCACGGGAUAAUACCCCAGGCAACUGAUUGCGUACCCCGCAGAAUAGGCACCGGCUAACUACGUGCCAGCAGCCGCGGUAAUACGUAGUGGGUGCAAGCGUUAAUCGGAAUUACUGGGCGUAAAGUGUGCGCAGGCGGUUCGGAAAGAAAGAUGUGAAAUCCCAGAGCUGAACUUUGGAACUGCAUUUUUAACUACCGGAGCUGAGGUCAGAGGGAGGUGGAAUUCCGCGUAGCAGGAAAUGCGUAGAUAUGAGGUGAACAACACCGAUGCUGAAGGCAGCCUCCUGGGAUAACACUGAUGUCAUGCACGAAAGCGUGGGGAGCAAACAGGAUUAGAUACCCUGGUAGUCUACGCCUUAAACGAUGUCAACUAGCUGUUGGGGCCUUCUGGCCUUGUAGCGCAGCGACCAGUGAAGUUGACCGCCUGGGGAGUACGGUCGCAAGAUUAAACCGAAUUGACGGUAACUUUCGCGGCCAAAUGGUGACAUGUGGAUUAAUUCCGAUGCAAAUUAAAACCUACCUACCCUUGACAUGUCUGGAAUCCCGAAGAGAUUUGGGAGUGCUCGCAAGAGAACCGGAACACGGUGCUGCAGCGGCUGUCGUCAGCUCGUGUCGUGGAGCGCUGGGUUAAGUCCCGCAACGAGCGCAACCCUUGUCAUUAGUUGCUACGAAAGGGCACUCUAAUGAGACUGCCGGUGACAAACCGGAGGAAGGUGGGGAUGACGUCAAGCCUCAUGGCCCUUAUGGUAGGGGCUUCACACGUCAUACAAUGGUCGGAGCAGGGUCGCCAACCCGCGAGGGGGAGCCAAUCCCAGAAACCCGAUCGUAGUCCGGAUCGCAGUCUGCAACUCGACUGCGUGAAGCCGGAAUCGCUAGUAAUCGCGGAUCAGCAUGUCGCGGUGAACAUGUCUGGUCUUGUACACACCGCCCGUCAAUCAUGGAGUGGUUUUACCAGAAGUAGUUAGCCUGAAUCCGGAGGGCGAUUACCAUGCGGUAGGAUCUAUGACUGGGGUGAAGUCAACAAGGUAA
rnacentral:rRNA from 1 species